UACGUAGGGUGCGAGCGUUGUCCGGAAUUAUUGGGCGUAAAGAGCUCGUAGGCGGUCUGUCGCGUCGAUCGUGAAAACUUGGGGCUUAACCCUGAGCUUGCGGUCGAUACGGGCAUGACUGGAGUUCGGCAGGGGAGACUGGAAUUCCUGGUGUAGCGGUGAAAUGCGCAGAUAUCAGGAGGAACACCGGUGGCGAAGGCGGGUCUCUGGGCCGAUACUGACGCUCAUGUGCGAAAGCGUGGGGAGCAAACAGG
rnacentral:rRNA from 1 species